GACGAACGCUGGCGGCGCGCCUAACACAUGCAAGUCGAACGAGCGAGAGAGAGCUUGCUUUCUCGAGCGAGUGGCGAACGGGUGAGUAACGCGUGAGGAACCUGCCUCAAAGGGGGGGACAACAGUUGGGAACGACUGCUAAUACCGCAUAAGCCCACGGCUCGGCAUCGAGCAGAGGGAAAAGGGGCAAUCCGCUUUGAGAUGGCCUCGCGUCCGAUUAGCUAGUUGGUGAGGUAACGGCCCACCAAGGCAACGAUCGGUAGCCGGACUGAGAGGUUGAACGGCCACAUUGGGACUGAGACACGGCCCAGACUCCUACGGGAGGCAGCAGUGGGGAAUAUUGCACAAUGGGGGAAACCCUGAUGCAGCGACGCCGCGUGGAGGAAGAAGGUCUUCGGAUUGUAAA
rnacentral:rRNA from 1 species